rnacentral:rRNA from 1 species
AUUGAACGCUGGCGGCAGGCCUAACACAUGCAAGUCGAGCGGAUGAAGGGAGCUUGCUCCUGGAUUCAGCGGCGGACGGGUGGGUAAUGCCUAGGAAUCUGCCUGGUAGUGGGGGAUAACGUCCGGAAACGGGCGCUAAUACCGCAUACGUCCUGAGGGAGAAAGUGGGGGAUCUUCGGACCUCACGCUAUCAGAUGAGCCUAGGUCGGAUUAGCUAGUUGGUGGGGUAAAGGCCUACCAAGGCGACGAUCCGUAACUGGUCUGAGAGGAUGAUCAGUCACACUGGAACUGAGACACGGUCCAGACUCCUACGGGAGGCAGCAGUGGGGAAUAUUGGACAAUGGGCGAAAGCCUGAUCCAGCCAUGCCGCGUGUGUGAAGAAGGUCUUCGGAUUGUAAAGCACUUUACGUUGGGAGGAAGGGCAGUAAGUUAAUACCUUGCUGUUUUGACGUUACCAACAGAAUAAGCACCGGCUAACUUCGUG